rnacentral:lncRNA from 1 species
GAGCACAAUCUCUGCUAUCUGAGAAAUUAUUUCUUAUUUCAUUUUUUCCAGAUCCUCUUUUGUUGCCAGUUCAGGGAGUCCAGGUGGUUCAGUAUUAGAGUGGUCCAUCUCAUUUCCCUUUGGGGAUGCUGUAGGUGCUCUGGGAAGUCUGGUUUUGGAACUUAUUUAUGUGUCUUCUCAUUUUGACAGGGGGCUGCUAUUGGUACCCACACGACUCACAUCCUCUGUGCUGGGAACAGUGGAAUGGCAUCCCAGAAGCCCCUUCCUCUGUGCUGAGAGUGGUGGAAUGGCAGCCAGUAGGCCCCUUCCUCUGCUCUGGGAGUGGUGGAACGGUGGCCUGGAGUCCCCUACCUCUGCACUGGGAGCAGUGGUAUGGGUGGCCCAAAGCCCACUUCCUCUGUGCUGCAAGUGGUGGAACAGCAGCCCAGAAGCCCCUUCCUCUGCACUUGGAGAGGUGGACAGGUCUCUCUACAUGAUUCUGAGGUUCUUCUGUUUCACUAUUUUUUAUUCCAGUCAGCUUUCCUGCAACUGAACAAAAUACCUGACACCUGCAAUUUAAAGCAGAGGGCUCACAGAUUCAGAGGUUGGCUGGUUCUGAGGCCAAAAACAUCAUGGCAGAGGCGCUUGCCCCAGGAAAAGUGCUGGAGACUCAGGGGACCCAGGAGAAGAGCCUGAGAAGAAGAGGUCAAGAACCGGAUAUGGUCUCCAAGGCCACAUGUGCCUGACUCGCCCAGUCGCACUGGAAGUGUGCUUUCCUAAUCUGCUAGGAAUUCUCACACCAAUCAAGGUGGCCUUUGUGAGAUAAAAAGUCUUGCCUUGACUCACUCAGUGUGAAACAUCAGCCCAUAAACAUUUUAAAUUGAAAGUAUACAUUUUAAAAACUCACACUGAGAUUUUAUCCACCUAUAAUAAUUUAAAAAUGUGAUUUUCUUUUAGAGCUGCACCUUAUCAGAAAGAAACCAUAUUUAAAAGGAAGCCUGGAGUUUUGCUACUAUAUUACACUCAGAAAACAGGCUCUGAGAACAUUUAGGUCCUUAAUUAUUAAGGGCUGAAAAAUAUAAGGGAGGACCCCAUGUUCAUAAGUUUAGUUUUCUUGCACUGUAUACUUAUAAUGUCUUCUCUAGCUUAUCAAUUUAAGUAGGUAAGAAAUAAUGGUUUUGCAUGUCUCUGUUGCCAAACCAAUGACAAGGACACAAUACCUAAAUAGGUAAAUAUGAUAGGGUUGCAAUAUAAUUUUAUCAUCAUUAUGUGAUUGAGGCUUUUCACUUUUUAUACUCACCAUAUCUCUUUUAAGUAAUAAAUAACUUUUAGCUAAUUAAGUUCUAUUAAAUCAAAUUUUGUAAAAUUGAGAAAGGCCUUAAAACAUUACCUUGUUAAAAUAGAAUUUGCUGGGCAGGGGAUUUAAUUCUGGUUCCACCGCCUGCCUCACAAGCGCAAGGGCCCAAGUUUGAUCCCCAAUACAAAAAUAAUAGAAUUUGCUUUGUUAAUCGGUUGAUCUAAGAAAUACACACUUAGGAUGAAAAUAAAGUAGAAAAUUAUAAAACCAUGUAAAAUUGAAAGUAUGUUUCUAGUUUAAAUCUCAGCAAGCUAUUCUGUGGAAUUUGAUAAUCUAGAGAAUUUCUAUGAAAAAAAAAGGCAAACAGGUGUCACACAGUACUGAAAUGAGAAAACGAGGUGCCCAUCUAUUAGCUUUGUAAAUGAGUAGAUUUAUGAGACCCUAAUGGUUAAUCUUGAUUAUCACUGCGAUUGAAUCAAAAAACACCUAACAACAUUUUAAAGCACAAUUCUGGUUGUGUCUGUGAGGUGUUUCUGGAAAUGACUGGCAUAUAGGGAAGAAAACUGAUGGGAGCAAGCCUCCCUGAACUUUGAAGCAUUCAUCCAUAGUAUGGGGCUCAAUGGAACAAAAAUAGAAGGAGAAAGCCACCUAGCCCAGGCUUUCCUCUCUCUUCUCUGCUUCCACACUGGCACAAGGUGAACAGUUUUCCAUGACCAUGCUCUUCCUCAAUGAUGUUGCUUCCUUGUCACUGACCUAAAAGUAAUGAAGCCAAAUAAUCUAACGUGGACUGAAACCUCUGAAACCAAUGGUCUAAAUAAAUCUGCUUCUAUAAGUUGUGUUUCUCCAAUAUUUUGUCCCUGUUUUGGAAAGCCGAUUAACACAAAAUUAAAGGCAAAAAGAAUUGUACACAGAGAGUGAUGUCUAUCCCAUAAGGGUGUGCUUCUUGGGGAAAUGAGACAAACAUACUAGUACAGCUAUAGAUGUUACAACUGUUGGAGGAUAGAGGGAACAAGAUUUCUCCCUGUUAGUGUAGGAAGGUAGAGUAAUUAAGAGGAGGAAACUAGAAUGAUCUGCAUUGUAAUGAAUUAAUUUUGGAUUGAAGAAUAAGAAUUCAUGUUUUGCUCAAUAUAGGUAUGGAUGUGUAUAUGUAGAAACAUUUGUAGAUAUGAGAAGUCAUAGAAUUAAAUAACUUUAAUAGUAAAUAGCAUUUUCUCAUGCCAUUCUGUAGGAAAUGGAAUUAGUGAUCCUUUGAGAAAUAACUGUUUCUAGGGCAGGAGCAGAAAAUACCCAUGUAAGCAUGCAGUUUACAGUCAGAAAGUAAGGGAGUCUUAGGAAAACAAAAAUACUUGGGGCUCAAUGGACUGAAUGUUUGUGCCCUAAUAUUCGUAUGCUGAAAUUCUAAUCACAAAUAUGAAGCAAGCCACGGCCUUUGGGAAAUAAUUAGGUCAAAGAAGUGGACCCUUCAUGAGUGGAAUUGGUGCUCUGAGUGAGGAGAUGGUUUCAGACCACUAUCUCACCUUUUUGCCAGGUUAAGACAUAGCCAGAAGGCAGCUGUACACACCCUGAAGGAAGCGCUCAAGAGAUCCUGGCUCUGCUACUAUUCAAAUCUUAAACUUUCAACCUCAAAAACUAUGAAAAACUAGUUUUUGUGGCUUCUGGGCCACCAAGUCUAUAGUAUUUUCUUAUAAUAAUCUGAGAUGUAUAAAGUAUGUGUUAUGUUAGAUGUUUUUGUUUUUGAGAUAUUGUCUCACUGUAUUGCCCAUGCUGGCCUUGAUCUUGUGGGCUCCAGUGAUUCUUCCAUUUCAGCCUCAUGAGUAGUUUGGAUGGGGUAUGUCAAAAUAGCACCAAAGCCAAUUAAAAGACUUCCCAAUGGACAAAGCUGAAACUAUUUGUGGAGGAAAAGAAAGAGAGUAUGAAGAUGUAACUAAAAGCAUAAAGUAAAUGCCCAUGAAUAUAUAUAUAUAUAUAAAGAUAUAAAUAUAUAUAAAGAUAUAAAUAAAGAAAAUUAGACAAUAUCUUCUGCAUAACAAUUCCAAAUAAUAUUGUAUAUUCCAUCUUCAAAAAAGGGAAAGAAGCUCCCCAGUAUAGACUGAAGAUAGAGAUUUACUUACAAACAAUUCAGCAUGAAAAGAGAAUUAAGGAAGAGGAAACUAAAUUUACAGAAAAGAAGCAAAGCAAACACUAUGUGAGGAAGGUCAGUAUCCACAGCAAUGGUCACUUUAGCAGUAUGCAUCCUCCAUGUGCGGUGAUGGCAAUGGAGGCACAGAUACAGCUGUGAUCUUCCUCCCGCAAACCCAAAGUCCCAGUCUGGUCAUGAGCAAAUUAUCAGACAAGCUGAAAUAGAAGAACAACUGUAUUAUUUACAGCACUCCAAAGGAACAGAAGCAAUAGAAAAUGUAUGUAUAUUAUGUAAGGGGAUUUCUAAGGCAGGCUUACAGGAUCCGAGGUGGAAGAGUCCACAAUGGCCACCUGUGGGGUCAGAGGUGGAAAGUCCAGCAGCUGCUCAGCCAGGAAGAAGGAAAGUACAGAAGAAGAGGGAGCAGGGCUGCAGCACCAGCCCCAAGCUGAAGGCCUGGGAGCUCACUGGAAGUUCUUCAGUGUGAGUCUGCACUGGACGGCUCAGCAAGGGGAGAGCUGGAAACCGAUGUCCAAAGGUGAUCACAGAGGAGGUCGCACUCUCUCGGGAUGUACUUCUCUUCAAAACCUGGCACGUUUCCUUCUCUCCCUUUUUAAUCCAUCCAGGCCACAAGCCCACUUGUUGGUCCCACCCAAGUCUGGGCUGGUUCUUCCUCAUUUGCUGGCCUUCAUGUCAAUCAUCCAUAGACAUACCGAGAACUGUGCUUUACUAAUCUGAUAGGCAUUUUAUAAUCCAUUCAAGUUGGCAUGUAAUGAUCAACUGUCACAGCAUCUAUCGUAUAUCUGACCAGUACCCAGUAUCCAUCACCCAAAACUCUUUUUGUGUUGUUGUUGUUCCCGGGAUCAAACUCAGGACCUCUCAGUUGCCAGGCAAGCGCCGUGCCACUGAGCUACAUCCCAGGCCCCAAAAAUUCUUAAGGUUGAGUAGAGUUUGAGAGACUACCAUGGCUAAGUGGAUAUAAUACCUAAAUAGAUUGUGUUAUCUAUCCUGGAUGGGAUCUUGAUGCAGAUAAUCAGGGAAAAACAUAAGAAAUUGGAAUAAAUCGGAGUAAUUAGAUCCAUAAUUUCCCCCAAAGUUCCAUGGGCUCAGAAGUGGGGCUUCUGAAUGAAGGCAUGAUUGGAUAAUGGUGAUGCCAUAUUUAGCAGUGGAUUAAUCCAAUGAUGGAUUCAUGACUAACUGUGCUGUUAGGAGUUUGGGUUGGGUUGGAAGGUGGAUCACUGGGCAUGAGCCUUUGUAGGGCAUGCAUCUCUUGCUCAGACUCUCUCUCUCUGUUUCCCUCUUGUCAUGAGUUGAAUAGCUUUUUCCCUGCCAGCCCCUUCUGCCAUGCCAUGCUUUUUAAAAAUUGUAUUGGUACAUUUUAGAUAUACAAUUUAAUGACAUUCAUCAUUGAGAAUUUGUACCUUUACAUAAUAUAUCUUGGUUCUUAUUUUUUCCCCCUUCCCCUGCCCUCCCUUCAACCCCUCCACCCCUCCCUAUUUCAAAGACUUUGUUUCUAUUUUUUCCUUUUCUCAUAUUAAUUCCAUUCCCUUCUUUCCUUUCCCCUACCCCUUCUAUUUCCCCUCCCCCUUUGGACCUUUUCUUCCUAUUUCACUUUAUCUGUUAUGCCUUUUGAUCCUUAUUUACACUUUCUCACACCAGAGAAACUAUUCAGUAUUUACACAUGUCUGCCCUAUUUUUUUCACUUAAGGGUACGGCCUCAAUGUGCAUCCAUUUAGCUAUAAAUGUCUCUAGUUUUUCAUUCUUUAUGGCUGAGUAGUACUCCAUUUUAUUUUGAAAAAACAUUUUCUUUACCCAGUCUCCAGUUGAUGGGUAAUUGGGAUGUUGCCAAGUUUUACCUAUUACAAAUUGUGCUGCUACAAACAUGGUGCACAUUUUUAACUUCAAGCUUGUGAGUAUGGACUGAGCCCUCUGAAACAGUGAGCCAAAAAUAAAUCUCUCCUUCUUUAUGUUGCAAUUUUCAGGUAGCUUGUCCCAGUUAUAGGAAAGGUGACCAAUAAAAAAUAUGAAUUUUAAUUGAUAAUGUAUCAAUUUUAGUUUAUUAGUUGGGAAAAUGUACUAUAAAUUAUGCUAAUAAUAAAGAAAAAAGAUUGUAGGGUAUUUAGGUACUCUCUUUACUAUCUCUGCAAUUUUUUGGUAAACAUGAAAC